GAUGAAGAACGUAGCGAAACGUGAUAUGUAAUGUGAAUUGCAGAAUUCAGUGAAUCAUCGAAUCUUUGAACGCACAUGGCGCCUUCCAGUAUCCUGGGAGGCAUGCCUGUCCGAGCGUCGUUUCAACCCUCGAGCCCCCGUGGCCCGGCGUUGGGGAUCUGCCCAGGCAGUCCCCGAAAACCAGUGGCGGACCCGUUACAGGCCCUUCCCUUGCGUAGUAGCAUACGCCUCGCAUCGGGAGCCGGCGGGCUUCCAGCCUCUAAACCCCCAUCAAGUCCGCCCCGGCGGCACCAAGGUUGACCUCGGAUCAGGUAGGAAUACCCGCUGAACUUAAGCAUAUCAAUAAGCGGAGGA
rnacentral:misc_RNA from 1 species